rnacentral:rRNA from 1 species
AUGGCAAGGGAAGCUUGUGUUUCGGGGGACAAUGAUGUGAUUAAGUGGGGUCUGGGAGGAAAAACUUCUUUCACCACUAAAUCUGUUUACUCUUUCCUGGAAAACAAUAUUGCUGGAUGUGAUUACAGAUGGAUCUGGAAUGCCAGAAUUCCUCUGAAGAUUCAAAUUUUCUUAUGGCAACUCUUUCAGAACGCUGUUUUGACCAGAGAUGUGAUGAGGCAUCGUGGUUGGAAAGGAAAUCCUAAAUGUUCCUUCUGUGGUGGUCGUGAGACAUCAAAACACUUGUUCUGUACUUGCCCUGUUGCGAGGUUGACUUGGAGAACAGUGGCAUGCAUGUUUGGCACGGAUCUGUGCCCUGACAGUAUAUGGCAAGCUUAUGUGUGGUGCUUUACUUUCUUCCCUGGUGGAGAAGAAUUUUACACAGUGGGUAUAGCCGCUGUGUGUUUGGCGGUUUGGACCAGCCGCAACAGGGCCACUUUUGAGUUCAAACCUCUUAAGAACCCAUUCGAAUGUGUUUUUACUGCUUGUGCUCUAAUGUGUUAUUGGGCAGGACUGCUGAAACAAGAAGACGCGGCGACCAUGAGAGACGGGGCAAAGAUGCUGAAGGAGAAUGUGUCGAUGAUGAUGAGAAUCUGCGCGGCAAGCGGUGAAGAAACGGCUCGCUGA